rnacentral:pre_miRNA from 1 species
AGCGCAGAAGAUCCUUGGCAGUUAACUGCAGCCGGAUUUUUCAAAAUUUCGGCAGUUAACUGCCGAAGAAAAC